rnacentral:rRNA from 1 species
AGAGUUUGAUCCUGGCUCAGAGCGAACGCUGCGGCAGGCCUAACACAUGCAAGUCGAGCGGCCGUAGCAAUACGGCAGCGGCAGACGGGAGAGUAACACGUGGGAACGCGCCCUUCGGUCCGGGAUAACCCAGGGAAACUUGGGCUAAUACCGGAUACGCCCUUACGGGGAAAGAUUUAUUGCCGAAGGAACGGCCCGCGUCCGAUUAGCUAGUUGGUGAGGUAACGGCUCACCAAGGCGACGAUCGGUAGCUGGUCUGAGAGGAUGACCAGCCUCACUGGGACUGAGACACGGCCCAGACUCCUACGGGAGGCAGCAGUGGGGAAUAUUGGACAAUGGGCGCAAGCCUGAUCCAGCCAUGCCGCGUGGGUGAUGAAGGCCCUAGGGUUGUAAAGCCCUUUCAGCGGGGAAGAUAAUGACGGUACCCGCAGAAGAAGCCCCGGCUAACUUCGUG